UCCCAUGGGUAGGAUGGAGUGACUGCUCUCAUGGGCCUCAUGGUGGAGGAGCUCACCUGAUGAAGACAGGCCUGAUCCUUUCCAGGUGCUGAGCUCUGCGGAUACCUGCCCAGCACAGAAAGGGGCCUCAUGGAAAUUCCACAGACCACCACCAGAAUGGGACUCUCAGCCCCUGUUCCCUGCAGGUCUGUCUGCAGGCGCCGGAGAGCAAAGCGCACAAGAGCUUCUACGGCUCUGCUUGCUUCCUGCACGCCAAGUCCUGACACCCAGGACACCCACCGCCCAUGAGGAGGCUCGGUCGACCUGGCUCCAGCUGCUGCUUCCGGGUCCCUCCUGACCGCACACCCGGCAGCCUCCGUCACCGAGUCAGACCAUCGGGUGCUGUUAGAGUGUGGG